GAUGAAUAACGCAGCGAAAUGCGAUAAGUAGUGUGAAUUGCAGAAUUCAGUGAAUCAUCGAAUCUUUGAACGCACAUUGCGCCCUUUGGUAUUCCAAAGGGCAUGCCUGUUCGAGCGUCAUUUGUACCCUCAAGCUUUGCUUGGUGUUGGGCGUCUUGUCUCCAGUUCGCUGGAGACUCGCCUUAAAGUAAUUGGCAGCCGGCCUACUGGUUUCGGAGCGCAGCACAAGUCGCGCUCUCUUCCAGCCAAGGUCAGCAUCCACAAAGCCUUUUUUCAACUUUUGACCUCGGAUCAGGUAGGGAUACCCGCUGAACUUAAGCAUAUCAAUAAGCGGAGGA
rnacentral:misc_RNA from 1 species